CAGCCGCCACGGUAAUACGGAGGGAGCUAGCGUUGUUCGGAAUUACUGGGCGUAAAGCGCGCGUAGGCGGUUACUCAAGUCAGAGGUGAAAGCCCGGGGCUCAACCCCGGAACUGCCUUUGAAACUAGGUGACUAGAAUCUUGGAGAGGUCAGUGGAAUUCCGAGUGUAGAGGUGAAAUUCGUAGAUAUUCGGAAGAACACCAGUGGCGAAGGCGACUGACUGGACAAGUAUUGACGCUGAGGUGCGAAAGCGUGGGGAGCAAACAGGAUUAGAGACCCCCGUAGUCCCUGUCUCUUAUAC
rnacentral:rRNA from 1 species